UAGCUCAGUUGGUAGAGCAUGGUGUUUGCAACGCCAGGGUUGUGGGUUCGAUUACCAC
rfam:Salmo salar isolate Sally breed double haploid chromosome ssa09, whole genome shotgun sequence.